GGUGACAAUUAUUAUCAAGACUCUAUUAGAUGCCCAGACCUGGACUAAGCACCCUGGGAAAUGCUGAGAUACGUGACUGGAGGUCCUCGGGGGCAGUUGGAAAGACAGGAAUGGGUACAACAGGAGACCACCUUGGCGUCUGCGGUUCACUAUCCACAGCAACCGUGGAAAGAGUGUGGGCUUUGGAGUCAGGCUAUCUGGGUUAAAUACUGCCCCUGCCACUUAAUAACAGUGUGACCAAAGAUAGGUGCUGCUCCAGCCUGUGUCA
rnacentral:lncRNA from 1 species